CCAAUAGCGUAUAUUAAAGUUGUUGCAGUUAAAAAGCUCGUAGUUGAAUUUCGGGGUCAGUAGGUUGGUCAUGCCACUGGUAUGUACUGAUCUUACUGAUUCCUCCUUCCUGAUGAACCGUAAUGCCAUUAAUUUGGUGUUGCGGGGAGACUGGACUGUUACUUUGAAAAAAUUAGAGUGUUUAAAGCAGGCUAACGCUUGAAUACAUUAGCAUGGAAUAAUGAAAUAGGACGUUCGAUCCUAUUUUGUUGGUUUCUAGGAUUGACGUAAUGAUUAAUAGGGAUAGUUGGGGGCAUUAGUAUUCAAUUGUCAGAGGUGAAAUUCUUGGAUUUAUUGAAGACUAACUACUGCGAAAGCAUUUGCCAAGGAUGUUUUCAUUAAUCAAGAACGAAAGUUAGGGGAUCGAGGACGAUCAGAUACCGUCGUAGUCUUAACCAUAAACUAUGCCGACUAGGGAUCGGACGAAGUUAAUUUUAUAAUGACGCGUUCGGCACCUUACG
rnacentral:rRNA from 1 species